rnacentral:rRNA from 1 species
GACGAACGCUGUCGGCGUGCUUAACACAUGCUAGUCGAACGGAAAGGCCCUGCUUUUGUGGGGUGCUCGAGUGGCGAACGGGUGAGUAACACGUGAGUAACCUGCCCUUGACUUUGGGAUAACUUCAGGAAACUGGGGCUAAUACCGGAUAGGAGCUCCUGCUGCAUGGUGGGGGUUGGAAAGUUUCGGCGGUUGGGGAUGGACUCGCGGCUUAUCAGCUUGUUGGUGGGGUAGUGGCUUACCAAGGCUUUGACGGGUAGCCGGCCUGAGAGGGUGACCGGCCACAUUGGGACUGAGAUACGGCCCAGACUCCUACGGGAGGCAGCAGUGGGGAAUAUUGCACAAUGGGCGGAAGCCUGAUGCAGCAACGCCGCGUGCGGGAUGACGGCCUUCGGGUUGUAAACCGCUUUCGCCUGUGACGAAGCGUGAGUGACGGUAAUGGGUAAAGAAGCACCGGCUAACUACGUGCCAGCAGCCGCGGUGAUACGUAGGGUGCGAGCGUUGUCCGGAUUUAUUGGGCGUAAAGGGCUCGUAGGUGGUUGAUCGCGUCGGAAGUGUAAUCUUGGGGCUUAACCCUGAGCGUGCUUUCGAUACGGGUUGACUUGAGGAAGGUAGGGGAGAAUGGAAUUCCUGGUGGAGCGGUGGAAUGCGCAGAUAUCAGGAGGAACACCAGUGGCGAAGGCGGUUCUCUGGGCCUUUCCUGACGCUGAGGAGCGAAAGCGUGGGGAGCGAACAGGCUUAGAUACCCUGGUAGUCCACGCUGUAAACGGUGGGUACUAGGUGUGGGGUCCAUUCCACGGGUUCCGUGCCGUAGCUAACGCUUUAAGUACCCCGCCUGGGGAGUACGGCCGCAAGGCUAAAACUCAAAGGAAUUGACGGGGCCCCGCACAAGCGGCGGAGCAUGCGGAUUAAUUCGAUGCAACGCGUAGAACCUUACCUGGGUUUGACAUGGAUCGGGAGUGCUCAGAGAUGGGUGUGCCUCUUUUGGGGUCGGUUCACAGGUGGUGCAUGGCUGUCGUCAGCUCGUGUCGUGAGAUGUUGGGUUAAGUCCCGCAACGAGCGCAACCCUUGUUCACUGUUGCCAGCACGUUAUGGUGGGGACUCAGUGGAGACCGCCGGGGUCAACUCGGAGGAAGGUGGGGAUGACGUCAAGUCAUCAUGCCCCUUAUGUCCAGGGCUUCACGCAUGCUACAAUGGCUGGUACAGAGAGUGGCGAGCCUGUGAGGGUGAGCGAAUCUCGGAAAGCCGGUCUCAGUUCGGAUUGGGGUCUGCAACUCGACCUCAUGAAGUCGGAGUCGCUAGUAAUCGCAGAUCAGCAACGCUGCGGUGAAUACGUUCCCGGG